GACGAACGCUGGCGGCGUGCUUAACACAUGCAAGUCGAACGGAAAGGCCCUGCUUUUGUGGGGUGCUCGAGUGGCGAACGGGUGCGUAACACGUGAGUAACCUGCCCUUGACUUUGGGAUAACUUCAGGAAACUGGGGCUAAUACCGGAUAGGAGCUCCUGCUGCAUGGUGGGGGUUGGAACGUUUCGGCGGUUGGGGAUGGACUCGCGGCUUACCAGCUUGCUGGUGGGGUAGUGGCUUACCAAGCCUUUGACGGGUAGCCGGCCUGAGAGGGUGACCGGCCACAAUAGGACUGAGGGACGGACCAGACUGCUACGGGAGACAGCGGGGGGAAAUAUUGCACAGUGGGCGGAAGCCUGAUGCAGCAACGCCGCGGGCGGGAUGACGGCCUUCGGGGUAUAAACCGCUGUCGCCUGAGACGAAGCGGUAGUGACGGUAAUGGGUAAAGAAGCACCGGCUAACUACGUG
rnacentral:rRNA from 1 species